CCUACGGGGGGCAGCAGUGAGGAAUAUUGGUCAAUGGCCGGGAGGCUGAACCAGCCAAGUCGCGUGAGGGAAGACGGCCCUACGGGUUGUAAACCUCUUUUGUCAGGGAGCAAGGUGCAGGUCGGGUCCUGUUGUGAGAGUACCUGAAGAAUAAGCAUCGGCUAACUCCGUGCCAGCAGCCGCGGUAAUACGGAGGAUGCGAGCGUUAUCCGGAUUUAUUGGGUUUAAAGGGUGCGCAGGCGGAUGCAUAAUUCAGCGUUAAAAUCGCGGUGCUCACCCCCCCACCGCCGUUGAAACUGUGUCCCUUGAGUACGCGAAGGGUAGGCGGAAUGCGUGGUGUAGCGGUGAAAUGCAUAGAUAUCACGCAGAACUCCGAUCGCGAAGGCAGCCUACCGGCGCGCAACUGACGCUCAUGCACGAAAGCGUGGGUAUCGAACAGGAUUAGAUACCCUUGUAGUC
rnacentral:rRNA from 1 species